rnacentral:lncRNA from 1 species
GUUUUAUGAAGUUGCCCCAACUCACUCUGUAGCCCAGGCUGGCUUUGAAUUUGCAAUACUCUCAUCUCCACCUCCCAUGUGGCUGGGAUCAUAUAGGCCUACACCACCACAGCUGACUUUGUUGUUGCUAUGUUGUUGAUGUUAUUUUUAAGACAAGGGCUCCUGUAGCUAAAACUGGCCUAGACCUCAUUGUGUUAGCUAAGGAUGUCCUUGAAUUCCUGAUUGUGCCUCCACCUCCCUGUUUUGCUUUUGGUUUGACCUAGGGCCCCACUAUGUAGCCCAGGUUGGCCUCAAACUUUUCCUCAUUCCUCUGCCUCCUAAAUUCUGGGAUCCCAGGCAUAUAUCACCAACUCCUUAUCAGUGAUGAUUUAUCUAAAACAAAUCCCCCUUAUCUUUCUCACCACACCCUGUGUUUUACCUUAUCACACUUUUUAAUUACUAACUUAUGGCUCAUGACUGUGCUCUACUAGAUUGAAGGGAUAAUAACCAAGACUUAUUCAUGUUAUACACACAUUACUUAGAGCACUUUUUAAAAAAGAAUUUUUAAUUAUGUAUAUGUGUGUGAGUAUGUGUGUGAGAGUUCAAGUUCCCUUGGAGACCAGGCAAAAGGUCAGAUUGCUUGGAGCUGAAGUUACAGAUGGUUGUGACCCACCCAAUGUAGGUGCUGGAAGUCAAAUGUGGGUCCUCUGAAAGAGCAGCAAGCACUCUUAAUUUAGAGCCCUAACAGCUUCCUUAGAGAAUUUUUUUGGUUUUGGGUGACAGGGUCUCUGCAUUGGCUAUCCUGGGACUCACUCUGUAGACAAGGCUGGCCUUGAACUCACAGAGAUCCACCUGCCUCUGCCUCCUGAGUGCUGAGAUUAAAGGCCUGUGCCACCAUGCUUGGUCUAUUAUAAUCUUAUAUUAGAUAAUUCACUAAUAUUAGUAAGUGUCUUGUUCAUCCUGUAAAGCCUGUCUCCCCUGAUAUAAUGUAAGCCUGACAAAGAUAGGGCCACUUGUUUUGAUUUUCAACAGUGACUAGAACAGUACUGGUUAAUGGGCUCUUUUGAUUAGGAGAGGGUACCGUCAUUGUUCCUUUGGUACCCAGUUCAAGCAAAGUUGGGAAUAUCUUCCUAGUGAGAGCAGCUAGGAUGAGGCUAACUCCAGAGCUCUUAGAGAAGAAAACAUGCCAGGCAGAAGAAAAAGUGUAGUGGCCCAACCCCUCCCUGCGGAUAUCACCCUCAUCUGUAAGGGCACUACCCUCAUCUGGACCCCUUUUCCUUUCUGUGUCUUUUGUCUCUACAGGUCAGUGAAGCCCACGAAGACCCCAUGGGUGGGCAAGAGCUCAAGAGAAGGCCUGCCCCCCUUCCUAUCCCCAUACCCUAGGUCUCCACCCCUCAACCCAGGAGACCCUAACUGUCUUUGCUGUUUAUAUAUAUAUUAUAUUAUAUAUAAAUAUCUAUUUAUCUGUCUGAGCCCUACCCUUACCCACUUCUCCAUGCACUAGGGGCCCAGUCCUGAAUGGGCUCCUCCCUUACCCUGACCUUGUAUUCCUCAGCCCCUAUCUGUUCCCUAGCCCUGUCCCUUGAGGUAAGGGGGCUCUAGAAAGGGGACAGGAAGGGGACCAGACCUUGGCUGCAUGGAGAGGGUCAAUGCUACUUUUCCCUUCCUUCUCUCCCUCUGUUCCUCCUAACUCUGGCCUUGGUUCCUCCAGCAUUGCCUAAACAGAAGCUUGAAUGGAAAUCCAACCCCAAGAGUAGAAGGACAGCAGACUGGGUGGGGAUAUGGGUGAAACACGUGAGAGGGGAGGAGCUCUGGAUAGAGAGGACUAGUCAGCAGAUACUGGAGUUCCCAACAUACCAGACAUGGAGCCUAAAAGGGAAGUGGUGUCCUACAGUAUUCUGGAAUGGGGCUGGAAGGAAUAGGAGGGAGUGGUUCUAGGAGGGGCGUGGCUCCGGAGUGAGGGCUUGGGUUGGAACCCAGCAUCUCUAGAAGAGGUGUGUCUUGAAACCUGCAGGAGUCUGUGUUUGAUUCCAAAGAGCUUGAGCAAGGAUAGAAAUGGGGUUCAGGAAUGAGCUAAGUUUGAGAUGAGGUCCAGACAGGCAGAUGAAGAGUCUGAGGAGUGCAUGAUGCUUUCAGAAGAGGAAGCCCUUCCUGUAAUGGCCCAGUGAAGAAAAUGUUUUCAAAUGAGUGGAGUUUGAGCAGCGGGUGUAGGAGGCCAUAUUUAGGAGCUGUGAGACAAGUUUGUUAAAGUAGGAGGGAGAAUACUCCUGCCCCCCUGGGAAUUGAGGUAACCUGGGAAGAGCCAAGGAUUGCGGUUUGGAGGAUGAGGGGUGGGAUCCAGAGAGAAGUGUCCCUUGCUUGCUCCCUCUCAAGAGACAGCUAGAUAAUCAGAGGACAGAGUCUACAGGACUGUGGGGCUGACCCACGCUUUUCCCCCUUUCUCUACCCUCUCCCUCCACACUCACAUUUGUCCCGGAAUACUUGGAGGCUGGGUCUGGAGCCCCCAUCCUGUACCCUCUGCUGUGUCUGUGAUGUUGGUAGUGCCUGUGAUCGUGUGUUGCCAUUUUGUCUGACUGUGGCCCCUCCCACUUCCCUCCAGACCCCCUACUUUCCUGUGCCCUUCCGUAUUGUUUGAAGAUUCCCAUGAGGAAGAACAAAUAUGAAAAAUUCCCUUUUCCCAAAUAAACACCUCAACCACCUAGUCCACCCGGCUCUGAUUUCUCGGUGUGUCUUUUCUUUUGGG